rnacentral:rRNA from 1 species
ACAGCGGCGAACGGGUGAGUAACACGUGGGUAAUCUGCCCUCGGUACUGGGAUAGCCCGGGGAAACCCGGAUUAAUACCGGAUGGCCCUUUGGGUCCUUGGACUUGAAGGAAAAGGUAGCUUCGGCCUCCGACCGAGGAUGAGCCCGCGGCGGAUUAGCUUGUUGGUGGGGUAACGGCCUACCAAGGCUCCGAUCCGUAGCUGGUCUGAGAGGGUGACCGGCCACACUGGGACUGAGACACGGCCCAG